rnacentral:lncRNA from 1 species
UUUAAAGAUCAGAUUUAUUUGGAGAAGACAAAAAACCCACAACCCAAAGGAUGGGAUUUUACAUCUCAAGACAUCUCCUAGAAUGUCUCUCUGGCUUCCUCUCCCUCUCAGAGACCCAAUUUGGAACUGAAACCCUGAGUACAGCAAAACUGCAUUUCCCAAGCUCCUCUUCUCUCAAUGGGUCACAUGACUUGUUCUAGCCAAUAGAACGAGGGUGGAAGUAAUGUGACCACUUUCAGGUGUCCCCUAAAGUCUCCUGUGAGAUCUUCCAAUCUUGCUCUCCUCACUCUGCAUGGCUGGAAAUGAAUACUCUGAUAUCUGAAACAACAUGAUGAAGGAGCCAGGAUGCCUAAGUUCACCACUUAGAGAAGAGACAGCUUGAAGAGUCAUUCUGGAGAACUGGCUGACCAAACUCAUUGGAUUGUAACAGAAUAUAAACCUUUUAUUCUGAUAUGCCAGAGGCACAUUAUGGAUUGUAUUACAAUGACUAGCAUUAGCUGUCCUGAUUAAUAGACACUGUGACAAGAUUCUUUAUUGCUAAAAGAAAAAAAAAGCAAUGGCUGAUACCUGAUUAACAGACACUGUGACAAGAUUUUUUAUUGCUAAAAGAAAAAAAAAAAGCAAUGGCUGAUACCAUUUAAAAUAAAACUUACAAU